CUUUUCUACUCCUAAUCGUAUCCCGGAGUACAAUCAAUGAGUAAUGAGAGUCUCCAUUACAUGGUUAGACAGUAGUGAAUAUUAUUUAGAUGACUGUAUGGUGCCUACCGGGUUGAUAGUUCUUUUUAAUAAGAUAUUCAUUAUGAAAUUGACAACUGAAUGUCUAGUCUAGUCGCCUUAUGAUCCGCCUACAAAGAUGAAGGGAAACAUCAUUCUAAAAAUUCCUGUACCUCCACUCUUGCUAAACAGUCCAACGCCAAGGGAAUUUACCGUAAUUUGGACCCACCAGGGAACGUCAAGUUCGCUACUUGGACCACAAACUUCAGCGUUAACGUCUCAACAGACGAAAUCCACGGUACAAUAUCUCGUGUCCUUUGCGUCUCAUGGAAGCAACCAACAGAAGAAACAAUAUUUCUCCCAGAACUGUCGGCAAAGAUUUCCUCAUUCGAACAGACAAUGUCGCACACUGACAUAAUAAACAGAUUCACAAUGAAUUCUGUUGCCAGAUUUAUUUUUUAUUAUUUUCUAC